rnacentral:rRNA from 1 species
CCCUUAGAUGUUCUGGGCCGCACGCGCGCUACACUGAUGCGUUCAACAAGUUUCCUUGGCCGAGAGGCCUGGGCAAUCUUCUUAAUAUGUAUCGUGAUAGGGAUGGAUUAUUGCAAUUAUUAAUCUUGAACGAGGAAUUCCUAGUAAACGCAGAUCAUCAAUCUGCAUUGAUUACGUCCCUGCCCUUUGUACACACCGCCCGUCGCACCUACCGAUUGGAUGUUCUGGUGAAGCCUCGGGAUGAGGACUGGUGCCUUUAUUGGCAUGAGUUGUUCAGAACUUGUCUAAACCUUAUCAUCUAGAGGAAGGUGAAGUCGUAACA